rnacentral:rRNA from 1 species
CGGUGACAGGUGGUGCAUGGUUGUCGUCAGCUCGUGUCGUGAGAUGUUGGGUUAAGUCCCGCAACGAGCGCAACCCUUACUGUUAGUUGCUACGCAAGAGCACUCUAGCAGGACCGCCGUUGACAAAACGGAGGAAGGUGGGGAUGAUGUCAAAUCAUCAUGCCCCUUAUGACCUGGGCCUCACACGUACUACAAUGGCCGUUAACAGAGGGAAGCAAGACCGCGAGGUGGAGCAAAACCCCAAAAACGGUCUCAGUUCGGAUCGUAGGCUGCAACCCGCCUGCGUGAAGUUGGAAUUGCUAGUAAUCGCGGAUCAGCAUGCCGCGGUGAAUACGUUCCCGGGCCUUGUACACACCGCCCGUCACACCAUGGGAGCCGGUAAUACCCGAAGUCAGUAGCCUAACCGCAAGGAGGGCGCUGCCGAAGGUAGGAUUGGCGACUGGGGUGAAGUCGUAACAAGGUAGCCGUAUCGGAAGGUGCGGCUGGAUCACCUC